rnacentral:tRNA from 1 species
GGAGAGGUUGCCGAGUGGUUUAAGGCGGCGGUCUCGAAAACCGUUGUGGAGGCGACUUCACCGGGGGUUCGAAUCCCCCCCUCUCCGCCA